GGGUCUGUACUAACACGGAUUUUCAUGUCUAAUUAUAUAUUAAAAAGAGGCUAUAGAAGCAGUACUCCCUGUAUUGUCGGCUUACAAAUUGGGGGUAUUUUUGGUACUUCAAAAAUUAUUUGUUUUAGUUCUAUUAAACUUUAUUUUUGAAAAAAGACAUAUUUAUUGAAGUUAUCUCGAAAAGUCAGUUAUACGCUUAAACUAUCAUGACGAUUUAUUACACACUUUUACUGUUUAAGAGUGGAUUAAUGUAUCCCCUAAAAUUGACGCGAUAAAAAAAUUAAAAAUAAAUUAAAAAGAUGAGCGUCCAAUAUAAAAAUUAAAAAUAAAAAAUCCUCCUUCCCCACCCCUCAUAUCUCUUCUUCUUCACACCCACCCUCUUCUUCUUCACACCCAUCAAUUAUCCUCUUCAUCUUCACACACCACCCAUUAAAAAAUCAAAAUUGUUACUUGUUGAAUAAAAGAAAAAGAGAGGAAGAGAGAUAAAUGUUGAGGAAUGAAACAGAAAGAGCACUUCAUAAAGCUCCAUCAGAAAUUUCUCUGACUGAAGUCUGCACAAGUCAGAUUCAAAUAGUAUCGGUGGAUAGAAUAUCUUUACAGACGGUAUUUUGUAUACUAUAUUCCCAUACAGGAAAAAAACUAAACUAAUUUAUAAUCCUUAAGCAUUUGAAGAACCUGAACAUGCCUAAACUGAUAUUGUUCUUUGGAAUUAUGAUCAAUUAAAAAAAUCUAGAGAUCUUCCUUAACAACAUGACCAAAAAUUGAACAAUAGUGUUUUUAAUCGGGAAGAAUAUAGAAAAACAAGCACUGCAACACGAUUCGAUUUGACUUUUAAAACAAAGAAUAAAGAAUUGAUAGUGAAGGUGGCCGGCCAUGAUUUUUUCGGUAAGAUCAGAGAUGAAGUGGGU
rnacentral:lncRNA from 1 species